rnacentral:tRNA from 1 species
GACUGGAUAGCCUAGUGGUCAAAGGAAGCACUUCUAGCAAAGAUGAGGUCCCAGGUUUGAAUCCUGGUCUAGUCA